rnacentral:rRNA from 1 species
UACGUAGGGGGCGAGCGUUGUCCGAAGUUACUGGGCGUAAAGAGCUCGUAGGUGGUUUGUCGCGUUGUUCGUGAAAACCGGGGGCUUAACCCUCGGCGUGCGGGCGAUACGGGCAGACUUGAGUACUGCAGGGGAGACUGGAAUUCCUGGUGUAGCGGUGGAAUGCGCAGAUAUCAGGAGGAACACCGGUGGCGAAGGCGGGUCUCUGGGACGGUACUGACGCUGAGACGCGAAAGCGUGGGGAGCGAACAGG